UCCUGCCCUUAGCUGAAGUGGAGGCGAGCUCGACUGCAUUCUGGCUUCUCUACCCUGUCGCAACAGCCCUGAAUGAAGAUCUUCCUUGCCUGUUCAACUUUGCCCAGUGCAAUUUUUGCUUUGACAAGAGGAAUGAUUAAAGCGCUGAGUCUUUGGAGUCAGACUGUCUGGAACCAAAUCCCAUCUCUGUCUCUUCCUAAAUGCACGACCUUCGUCAGCCUGUGCAAGGGCUUGGCCAAGGAAUGGGGAAAGAUGGAAGAGGAGCCUCUUUUCCUUCAAUGUGUGAACAGUAAGACGACAAACCCUGAGGCUUUUCCCCUGAGCCUGAUUUACCACAGGAAAUAAAAAGAUUCACAUGUCCUAUUAAUAGAACCAUGAUUUUCCUGCUGAAAACAGUAACAGAGUCCACAUGUCUCAGGGGAGAGCAGGAUCAGUAAAGCAUCAAGAUAACCCAUAGUGCAAAGAAAGAGAGACGAGGAAAUGAAUUCAGUCUUCUAAGACCUCAGUUUCUUUAUUUGUAAAUUAGAAAAAUAAUUCUUUCUUCACAGGGUUUGUGAUGAUUUAAAGCAAUAACAUCAUACAGAAGCAUUUUGAAAUACCAAAGAACUAUAAAGGCCAAAAAAUCUUGCUGAUAUAUUUUAAUAAUAAUAGAAAAAUAACAAAGACUUCUUUGUAGGCAGGGGUGAGAUAAUUGGUUUGGAUUUUUACAAAAUGUGCUGCAGUUUCCUUAGAAUUCAUAUAUCCUCAAGAAGAAGGAAAUACUAUUGAAAGAAAGCCUGCAAACAAAUUCCAUUCAACUGCUAAGUGAAAAUAAUUUCUGAUAUAAAAAUAAAUAGUGCAUCCAAACGGAAAUGAAUGCUCUGAUUUUAAGGAUAAAAAGAACACAUCUGAGAGCGAGAACGAUUCUGUUUUGCAACUGGUGGCCUUUGUUGCUGUUUUUAGUGUGAAGCAUUGGAGCUUAGACACACUGUGCUUUGCUCGUAAUCAUCCUGAGGUGAGGAUUGAAAAUGGAAUUCACAUUGAUGACACAGGACAUAUAUGAGUCUAUAUUAAGACUAACAGAAGUUUUACAACUUUGUGUUACAUAAUUAAAAUAAAUAUAAUGUGAAUGAAGUAAUAUCCAGUAUGCAGAUUUAGAACAGUUUUAAUUUCAAAGAAAUCUGAGAAUUUGUAUCAGGGAAAGACAGACUGCAUAAGUGGUGCCUGGAAUAAUGAACAGUGUGUUCACCAGAAGUUGCUGCUGCGUGGAUGAUGUGAAAGGAGACCCCCAAAAUUACUAAGCCAAAGGGAAAAGUCAAGCUGGGUACUGCUUAGGGCAAACCUGCCUCCACUGUAUUCCUAAAAACGAUAGCUACUAAGAUAAAAAAAAAAAAAAAGCUACA
rnacentral:lncRNA from 1 species